GAACUUUUCAACAUGCCAUUAAAAACCCAUUAUUCGGAGCUAAAUUAGCUGCAAAUCCCUUAAACCCAGUGGGUGUGUGAGAGCAAAAGAAUGGAAGAAAACAAAAACAUGGAAACUCACCAAGUAGAUGAUGAAGAUGAGGGUCCACCACCUGGUUUUGACUCUUUAACUCUACCCUCACAACAUACCAAUGAAGGCCCACCUCCAGGUUGGCCUCACCAACACAAUCAGCAGCAGCUUCUCCAGACUACUGAUGUAGAGAUGGAAAGCAAAGAACACGAAUCAGAAGACGAUGAAGAUGGUCCGCCACCUGGGUGGAACACCAUAAUCCCACAGAAAAAUUUGCCAUCUUCACCACCAGCAACAGCAGCAGUUACUUGUGAUACAGAAACGGAGAAGAAAGAAGAAGUCGUUGAAAAUGAAGAUAAUGGUCCAUCGCUAGGAUGGCAGUUGACCCCUCAACUUCCGCCACUACAAACAUCUGAACCACCAUCUGGGACACAAGACGCUCCUCUUGCUGAUACAGAAAUGGAGAAUAAAGAAGACGUUGCUGAAGAUGAAGAUAAUGGUCCACCACCAGGUUGGCAGUUGACCCCUCAACAGCCACUACAAACAUCUACACCACCAUCACGGACACAACCAGCUCUUGCCGAUAUAGAAAUGGAAAAGAAAGAAGAAGUCGUUGAAGAUGAAGAUAACGGUCCACCACCAGGAUGGAAUUUGAUCGCUCAACCACAGCCACUACAAAUAUCUACACCACCAUCAGGGCCACAACAAGCUCUUCUUUCCGACGUUGAAAAGGGGAGCAAACAUGACUCUGAAGUUGAAAAAGAAGGGCAUCCCCUGGGAUCAGAAUCCAUUCCUAUGGCUGGACAUUCAUCACCAUCUGCACCACCACCUCAGUCGUCGUCAUCAGUUGCUUCUUCUGAAAUGGAGACGGAUAGCAAACAAGAAAGCACAAAGAAUGAGGAGGUAAGGCCCCAAAUUGAAAAGCAACCUAUGUCGCAUUUACGACAGAUGAAACCUAUGGUGCCUCAAUCCUCAUCACAUGCUGCAACAGUUUCUGCAGAAAUGGGUCAGAUGGUAUGUGGUAGUUGCCGACAGUUACUUUCUUAUCCACAAGGAGCUAAAUUGGUGAAGUGUUCAUGCUGCCGGACCAUCAAUCUUGUCCUUGAAGUUCAUGAUGUUGGACAAGUUAAGUGUGGGGGUUGUGCAUUGCUGCUCAUGUACCCAUAUGGGGCGCCAUCAGUUAGAUGUUCCUCUUGUCGUCACAUGACAAAAAUUGGGGCACACAACAGACGACCUCCUCUGUCAAUGCAACAGCCUCGAAGAAGACAUCCGUCUUACCAAGUUCAUUAGCUUGCUUAUCUCGAUCUGGUUGUGGGAAUCCACCAUGUAGAUGCAAUUGUUUAUAUGAAACUUCUGGGCUAGAGGGCUAUUUAGCUGACAUCAGGGGAACCAUUUUUCUUAAUGGUACUAGCGGCUAUGUGCAACAUAGAAGCAUUUUGGGAAAAACGACAAUCAUUGCCUGUUACAAGAUUCAGUGAGGAAGAACGAAAGAAAACAGGAAUUGAGCAGCGGAAGAAUUAGAACAUCAAUAUCAUUUACAUCUCAAUUCAGCCUUUAGAGUCAACAUAAGACUGUCCUACGUUUAAACAGCAAUAGAAUAUGUAGCAGCAAUGAUAGUUAUCGAAUCCAACUGCUAAGAAAUCUACUGAUCAGUGGAACAAUUUAAAUGUAUAAGCUUGACAUUGGAAGAGUUUUAUCGUCUUUUUAACAUCAACUAAAGAUGUUCAAAUUAAUUGCUAGUGGUGGUAUCCACAGACCAUCUGUGAGACUUUCAAACAUCAGGAGAUAGAAGCACUGUCAUUUCAGCUGCAGAUACAUAUAUGCGGACUUUCAAUCAUCAGGUGGGAAGUCCUCAUCUGAGGCAUUAUCCAGAAAUGAACCUAGAGUUUUUCGCAGAAAGCUGAAUGCUUUAUCAUCCUGUUAAACAUGCAAAAGGAGACAUUACUAACUGUUGGAGGAUGCAUGUCUGUGAUGUGACAGAGCUCUACAUGGUGCAUUGAAGAAGUAAACCUGCUUCUUUUUCUUCAGCGACUCCUCUAGUUCAGCAAUUCGUUUCGUAGAGUCUUGUUCAAGUUCAGAUAUCAUGCUCUUCUCUUUCUUCCCUGAAUUAAUGUCAUAAAAAUCUGUGACAGCCAUCCUUAUCAUUCAAUGAAAAUAUAAUACAGAUA